rnacentral:lncRNA from 1 species
AUGCAAAGGCCAGGCAGGGUAUGGUGGAUUCAGGGAACAAGGCCAUGGCUGAUGCAAUUGGAUCUAUUUGGGGGAGAGAAGAAGGCCACGGCUGGAGAGAAAGAGGAAAAAGAAACACAAUUCAAAAGCCAGAAUAUCUGUGAUGAACUUCAAAUGCAGCUGGGCACGAGAAGGCUCAGCACGCACGCACAGCAGGUGUGGGCCCGCCCUCCACACCAUGAAAACAGGAGCCCCGGCCAGCCACGGCUGGGCAGGGCCAGAAGCGCCUCCUCCGGGAUCCUCCCCGCGCUGGCCCGCCCCACAGGAGCACCGCCUCUACCAGGAGCCCGGAGCUCUUCCCAGGGCCCGCCUCCCCGCCAGGGGGCGAUCCACCUCCACUUCCUGUUCCCGCAGCCGCCCUACCAGGAGCCUGGCACUCUCCUCAGGGCCCGCCUCCCCGCCAGGGGGCGCACCGCCUCCACUUCCUGUGUCCACGGCUGUCGCGAGAGCCCGGGACGAGUGGGCCUCUGCUCGUGGGUGGUUCUCGUGGAGGUCAGCUCCCGCGUGUCUCCGCUCGACAGGGUGCUUGGGCAGGAGAAACUUGAACGGCUCCAGGGAUCACCAUGGAGAUCACCAGGGAUCUCCAGGAGAAACUUCACAGGCUUCGAGGAUCACCAUAGAACUGAAUGUAUUUAGUUAGGGCAGUGUUACAAAGUGGUUAUGACUGAUGAGCUGGAGAGACUGAAGUCACUAAGAAAGCAGCAGGAUUUAACCCCACUUGUGGGAACCAGCCUCCAAGAGGGCCCACAGUGAUUCUUUGUUGGUUUCAUGCCCUAUGUAAUCACUAGGACUUGGAUGAGAUGACAGCAUGUAACAUAUGAUACAAGGUCAUGAAAGGCAUUGUACCUUCCGUGUACCACCUUGCCCUCUUGGAUCACGCAUUCUGGAGCAAGCCAGCUUCCCUGUCAUGAGAACACUCAGGCAGUCUCAUGGAAAGGGCCACCUGGCAAGGAACAAGGAACAAAGGCUACGUGCUACCAGCCAAACAAAACUGGGCACCGGUCCUGGAAUCAGAUCCUCCAGCCCCAUCAAGCUUUCAGAUGACUGCAGCCCCAGCCGGCAACUCGUGUCAUGAGUGAUCCCAUCUGUAUAUAAUUAAUAUAUAUGUAUUAACUGAGACAUAUUUCACAUGCCAGAGAAUACAUCCAAAGUACAUAGUUCAAUGGUUGUUAUUAUAUUCACAAAGUUGUGCAGACAUUACCGCAAUCUAAUUUUGGAACAUUUUUAUCACUACAAAAACAAACCCUCUACCCAUCACCAGAUAUUCCCCAUUCUCACUCUCCUCCCCACCUCUAGGAAACCAGUAAUUAUUUUGUUUCUAUAGAUUUGCUUAUUCUCACCAUUUCACAUUAAUGGAAUCAUUUACUAUGUGGCCUUUUAUUUCUGGUUUCUGUCACUUAACAUGACAUUUUCAUGUUUACCCAUAUGGUAGCAUGUAUCAGGGUUUCAUUCCCUUUCAUGGCCAGAUAACAUUCUAGUAGAUACAACACAUUUUGUUUAUCCGUCGUUCACUAGUUAUAGGACAUUUGGGUUGCUUCCAAUUUUUGGCUUUUAUGAAUAAUGCCGCUAAUGAAGAUUUGUGUACAAGUUUUUUUCAUUUCUCUUGGGUAUAUCCCUACGAGUGGAAUUGCUGGGUCAUAUGGUAACUCUAUGCGUAAUCUUUUGAGGAAUUGCAAGUGUGUUUUCCAAAGCAGCUGCUCUAUUUUACAUUUCUAGUAGUAUCGUUUGAGGGUUUCAAAUUCUCGGCGUCCUACCAGUAGUGUAUGAGGCUUUCAAAUUCUCUGCUUCCUGAAUUCUACUAAUUCACCAACACAAAUUAUUAUUAUCCAUCUUUUUUAUUAUAGCCAUCCUUGUGGGUGUGAAGUGGUAUCUUGUUGUGGUUUUGAUUUGCAUUUUCCUGAUGGUUACUGAUGGUGAGCAUCUUUCAAUGUGCUUAUUGACCAUUUGUAUAUCUUCUUUGGAGAAAUUUUUAUUUAUAUCCUUUGUCCACUUUUUAAUGAGAUUACUUGUGCUUUUAUUAUUGACUCAUAAAAUUUCUUUAUAUAUUAUAGAUACAAGUGCCA